UACGGAGUGUGCAAGCGUUGUUCGGAUUUACUGGGCGUAAAGCGCGCGUAGGCGGCAAGGUAAGCCAGAUGUGAAAUCCCUCGGCUCAACCGAGGAACUGCAUUUGGAACUGCCUAGCUCGAGUACAGGAGGGGGAAGCGGAAUUCCCAGUGUAGAGGUGAAAUUCGUAGAUAUUGGGAGGAACACCAGCGGCGAAGGCGGCUUCCUGGACUGAUACUGACGCUGAGGCGCGAAAGCGUGGGGAGCAAACAGG
rnacentral:rRNA from 1 species